CGCGGCCUAUCAGCUUGUUGGCGGGGUAACGGCCCACCAAGGCAACGACGGGUAGCUGGUUUGAGAGAACGAUCAGCCACACUGGAACUGAGACACGGUCCAGACUUCUACGGAAGGCAGCAGUAGGGAAUCUUGCGCAAUGGGCGAAAGCCUGACGCAGCGACGCCGCGUGCGGGAUGACGGCCCUAGUGGUUGUAAACCGCUUUCAGCAGGGACGAAAAUGACGGUACCUGCAGAAGAAGUCCCGGCUAACUGCGUGCCAGCAGCCGCGGUAAUACGUAGGGGACAAGCGUUGUCCGGAUUCAUUGGGCGUAAAGAGCUCGUAGGCGGUUCAGUAAGUUGGGUGUGAAAGCUCCGGGCUCAACCCGGAGAGGCCACUCAAUACUGCUGUGACUAGAGUCCAGUAGAGGAGCGUGGAACUCCUGGUGUAGCGGUGAAAUGCGCAGAUAUCAGGAAGAACACCGGCAGCGAAGGCGGCGCUCCGGGCUGGUACUGACGCUGAGGAGCGAAAGCAUGGGUAGCAAACAGGAUUAGAUACCCUGGUAGUCCAUGCCGUAAACGUUGGGCACUAGGUGUGGGGAGGAAUCAACCCUCUCCGUGCCGUAGCUAACGCAUUAAGUGCCCCGCCUGGGGAGUACGG
rnacentral:rRNA from 1 species